UGGGGAAUAUUGCACAAUGGGCGAAAGCCUGAUGCAGCGACGCCGCGUGCGGGAUGAAGGCCUUCGGGUUGUAAACCGCUUUUAAUUGGGAGCAAGCGAGAGUGAGUGUACCUUUUGAAUAAGCACCGGCUAACUACGUGCCAGCAGCCGCGGUAAUACGUAGGGUGCAAGCGUUAUCCGGAAUUAUUGGGCGUAAAGAGCUCGUAGGCGGUUUGUCACGCCUGGUGUGAAAGUCCAUCGCUUAACGGUGGAUCUGCGCCGGGUACGGGCAGGCUAGAGUGCAGUAGGGGAGAUUGGAAUUCCCGGUGUAACGGUGGAAUGUGUAGAUAUCGGGAAGAACACCAAUGGCGAAGGCAGAUCUCUGGGCUGUUACUGACGCUGAGAAGCGAAAGCAUGGGGAGCGAACAGGAUUAGAUACCCUGGUAGUCCAUGCCGUAAACGGUGGAUGCUGGAUGUGGGACCCUUCCACGGGUUCCGUGUCGGAGCUAACGCGUUAAGCAUCCCGCCUGGGGAGUACGGCCGCAAGGCUAAAAC
rnacentral:rRNA from 1 species